AGCUGCUCAACUAAACUGUAAUACGCUCUGGGAAAUAGCAUCCACCUUAUCCCAUACACCUGUUUGCCAACAGUGAUGCUGCCGCAAAAUCUGCAUGAGGAAAUUCAAAGGCAAAAGGACUGUCAUAGAUGUGUGGCAUCUUAUAACCAACCCAAUGACAAGCUCAACAGAGCAGACUAUGCAAGUCCUAGAGACACUUGAACAUCCACCUGGGCUCCCUGUCCACCUGGACCAGGAAGCAGGGCAUAGACCCAGAUCACAUCACCCAAAAGCAAGAGAGCCAACUCUAGCCAAGUGCCACAACCUUGACCUUGGAAGAGAGUGAAAAUAACUCAUGGGCAUGAAGAAUCAAACUCCCAGUCUUCUAACCAAAAUUCACUAAUCAACUAUAGACCCCCUUUCUAGGAUCAUCUAAAUUUCUAGCCUAAAUACCCAUUUCUUUCUAUUCCUUUUGAUAUGCAAAGUGACUAGUUAAAGAUUUUAAUUGACAUUUUCAAGAACAAGUCAUUGAAUCUCACUUGAAGUCUUCAAAUUGAACUGAUAUGUGGAAAAUUAAUCCCAUGGAAACAAGAAAAGCUGUUUUACAUGUGACAUGGAGAAAAGACAAUCUCAGCUUCACUUAGGGGGGGGGGGGGAACUUCCUAUCAUAAGUUUCUCCUUUUUAAGGAGAGAUAAUGGGUUGGAA
rnacentral:lncRNA from 1 species